AAUAUCUGUGUGAUUCUAAAUGAAAGAUCUGAACACAACUGGGUACCGAGGUACAAAAUUCCAGAGGCCUGAGAGAUCACUCAUCUGCACAAAGUGGAGAAGGCAUAUCUAUUUUCUCAUACCAAAAUCGAUUGCUUAGCCUUCAAUACUGAUAUCAAAGUGUGGAGCUGGAGGAAUGUAGCAGGCCAGGCAGCAUCAGAGGAACAGGAAAGCUGAUGUUUCAGGUUCACUGGAAGCAUGACCAAUGGAUCUAGCCACAGUGUACCAGAGGUGCAUAUAAACUGAGAAUCAACAUUUGUCCCAUUAUGCCCAAGACCAGCAGCAGCCAAGCAUCCUCCAUAUGAAGAAGUCCCAGCUGAAGGUCCCCUCAGGAUGUGGAGCUGGUACAGGAGGCUCCCGUCCUUGAUUCCAAUUCCUCCAGAUGAGUGAGGUGCAGUGCCGCUACAGAUUGACUCUAUUGUGUCUUGGAUCAGGACUUGAGAACUGCAAAUGAGAGUUAGGCUUUUAGUUAUGUUGAUUUCAAAAGAAUGGAGGCGGUGAUGGGAUCAGGGGACAUGGGUGGUAGAGGGGUGGGGGUGUUUUUUGUUGAUCAAUCUGUUGUUGUACAACAUUUUUUUUGUAACCAUUUAAAAUCUUCACUUGUUCCUUCUGCAUUCAAUAGGAUAAUAACUUUGGAUUGAGUACAGAAGAGCAGUGAUUUGAGAAUCCUGUUACUGUUGCAAAAAGAUCAUUAAGACUGAAAAUAAAUCACAUUUUCACUUUCUGGAAUUGUAAUAUUUAGCCACAGUUACACCUAUUGCCUGUACUGGGACGAGGUCUUUGAGGACCUGUUCUUGAGUAUGCCUGAGUUCAAAGUAGACAGAAAAGAGUUAACCUACAGAUUUGCUUUCACAUUAUGCCUUUUAUGACCUCAGAAUUUCAUCAAUCACUUUGCAAACAAUGGAGCAUUUUUGAAGUAUAAUGAAUGUAGCUAUGCAGAAACACAGCUCUUAAUUUGCAUAUAGUAAAGUCUUGCAAAGAAUAAAUUGAAAUGAAUUUAGUUCAUCUAAUCUACUCAUGCUGGCCAAAGAAUCAACACUGCAGGAGUUAACAUUUCUUUGACUUGAAAAGUACCAUAGGAGUUUCUAAUAUAUCUGAACAAACCAAUGGAUAUUUGUUUAAUGUCCUUUCUGAAACUGUUAUUUUCAAUCAGAUGAUGUAGGGCAGAAUAGGAAGCGUUUAUUAUUCCAAACUGUUUACACUACCUGCUCUGGACUUUAAUUUGACCAGGGUAUACAUUUAGGAUUGUCAUAUACUUGGAAAUACAUAAAUGGACUCAAUGACCAGAAAUUAUACCAAUAAACAGCGUCAGUACAUAACUUGACUGAAAGCAUAAAACCAAGAAAUCAACAAUGAUUAGUGAUCAAAAAAUUAAAAUAAGCUGAAUCAAUGAAAUUAUUAAAAAUCAAAAAAAGUAAUUUGGACACCAUCAUGUGUGUCACUGAAAUGAGAAGCAAAAAUACAAUUAACAUUACCAACAAAUUGUGCUUUUUGAGUUAUGUGUGUCUGAUUAUUCUUUCUUCAGAGCUUGUGUCUUUUAGUGUUUAAGUUCAUACUUUUGACUACAAGAAAUUAAAGUAUCAUGCCUGUGA